GAUGAACGCUGGCGGCGUGCCUAAUACACGCAAGUCGAGCGAACGGACGAGAAGCUUGCUUCUCUGAUGUUAGCGGCGGACGGGUGAGUAACACGUGGAUAACCUACCUAUAAGACUGGGAUAACUUCGGGAAACCGGAGCUAAUACCGGAUAAUAUUUUGAACCGCAUGGUUCAAAAGUGAAAGACGGUCUUGCUGUCACUUAUAGAUGGAUCCGCGCUGCAUUAGCUAGUUGGUAAGGUAACGGCUUACCAAGGCAACGAUGCAUAGCCGACCUGAGAGGGUGAUCGGCCACACUGGAACUGAGACACGGUCCAGACUCCUACGGGAGGCAGCAGUAGGGAAUCUUCCGCAAUGGGCGAAAGCCUGACGGAGCAACGCCGCGUGAGUGAUGAAGGUCUUCGGAUCGUAAAACUCUGUUAUUAGGGAAGAACAUAUGUGUAAGUAACUGUGCACAUCUUGACGGUACCUAAUCAGAAAGCCACGGCUAACUACGUGCCAGCAGCCGCGGUAAUACGUAGGUGGCAAGCGUUAUCCGGAAUUAUUGGGCGUAAAGCGCGCGUAGGCGGUUUUUUAAGUCUGAUGUGAAAGCCCACGGCUCAACCGUGGGGGGUCAUUGGAAACUGGAAAACUUGAGUGCAGAAGAGGAAAGUGGAAUCCCAUGUGUAGCGGUGAAAUGCGCAGAGAUAUGGAGGAACACCAGUGGCGAAGGCGACUUUCUGGUCUGUAACUGACGCUGAUGUGCGAAAGUGUGGGGAUCAAACAGGAUUAGAUACCCUGGUAGUCCACGCCGUAAACGAUGAGUGCUAAGUGUUAGGGGGUUUCCGCCCCUUAGUGCUGCAGCUAACGCAUUAAGCACUCCGCCUGGGGAGUACGACCGCAAGGUUGAAACUCAAAGGAAUUGACGGGGACCCGCACAGGCGGUGGAGCAUGUGGUUUAAUUCGAAGCAACGCGAAGAACCUUACCAAAUCUUGACAUCCUUUGACAACUCUAGAGAUAGAGCCUUCCCCUUCGGGGGACAAAGUGACAGGUGGUGCAUGGUUGUCGUCAGCUCGUGUCGUGAGAUGUUGGGUUAAGUCCCGCAACGAGCGCAACCCUUAAGCUUAGUUGCCAUCAUUAAGUUGGGCACUCUAAGUUGACUGCCGGUGACGAACCGGAGGAAGGUGGGGAUGACGUCAAAUCAUCAUGCCCCUUAUGAUUUGGGCUACACACGUGCUACAAUGGACAAUACAAAGGGCAGCGAAACCGCGAGGUCAAGCAAAUCCCAUAAAGUUGUUCUCAGUUCGGAUUGUAGUCUGCAACUCGACUACAUGAAGCUGGAAUCGCUAGUAAUCGUAGAUCAGCAUGCUACGGUGAAUACGUUCCCGGGUCU
rnacentral:rRNA from 1 species